AAUAUGAAAUAMAUGAUAAAAGUUUGGCUCUUUCUUCUUGUACAGAUAUAGUUCACUUGAACUUCAUAUU